UGGGGAAUAUUGGACAAUGGGGGCAACCCUGAUCCAGCAAUGCCGCGUGUGUGAAGAAGGUCUUCGGAUUGUAAAGCACUUUCGACGGGGACGAUGAUGACGGUACCCGUAGAAGAAGCCCCGGCUAACUUCGUGCCAGCAGCCGCGGUAAUACGAAGGGGGCUAGCGUUGCUCGGAAUGACUGGGCGUAAAGGGCGUGUAGGCGGUUUACACAGUCAGAUGUGAAAUCCCCGGGCUUAACCUGGGAGCUGCAUUUGAUACGUGUAGACUAGAGUGUGAGAGAGGGUUGUGGAAUUCCCAGUGUAGAGGUGAAAUUCGUAGAUAUUGGGAAGAACACCGGUGGCGAAGGCGGCAACCUGGCUCAUGACUGACGCUGAGGCGCGAAAGCGUGGGGAGCAAACAGGUUAGAUACCCUGGUAGUCCACGCCUGUAAACGAUGUGUGCUAGAUGUUGGGUACUU
rnacentral:rRNA from 1 species